ACGCUCGACACCUACGGGAAGCAGCAGUGGGGAAUAUUGCACAAUGGGGGAAACCCUGAUGCAGCGACGCCGCGUGGAGGAAGAAGGUCUUCGGAUUGUAAACUCCUGUUGUUGGGGAAAAAGAGGAUGGUACCCAACAAGGAAGUGACGGCUAACUACGUGCCAGAGCCGCGGUAAUCUGAGCGGGCUGGCAAGGC
rnacentral:rRNA from 1 species